rnacentral:rRNA from 1 species
GACGUAGGAGGCGAGCGUUGUCCGGAUUCAUUGGGCGUAAAGAGCGCGCAGGCGGCUUGGUAAGUCGGAUGUGAAAUCCCGAGGCUCAACCUCGGGUCUGCAUCCGAUACUGCCCGGCUAGAGGUAGGUAGGGGAGAUCGGAAUUCCUGGUGUAGCGGUGAAAUGCGCAGAUAUCAGGAGGAACACCGGUGGCGAAGGCGGUGGUCUGGGCCGGCACUGACGCUGGAGGAGCGAAAGCGUGGGUAGCAAACAGG